UAUCCGUUCCAACGGCUUCCUGGCGGGACGGAGCAUUUCUCUAAUGGAGCA
rfam:Rhodobacter aestuarii strain DSM 19945 genome assembly, contig: Ga0111637_109